rnacentral:lncRNA from 1 species
AUGAAACCUCCUAGUAGUUGGCAGAAUAGCCAGCUUUUGCUGUACUUUUACAGGUGUGGCUUACUGCUGAAUUCAAGUGGAGCAGCACUGCUUUUCCAGUGGGACUGUGUUUUGGAGGGACAGCCUGUAUCCCUAACUGGAGGCGGGGGAAGGAAUUGGCUAAUUGACCCUGCAGGACUGGGAGGGGAGUGGGAAAAAGGGAGAUUGGUGCGCUCCCACGCCUGCAUCUGCGUUGCCUCAGCUUGCAUGGACUUUGGGACCACAGCUGCUGAGGAGGUUACAGACUGGCCAUUUUACUGCAGCAUCCCAGCCAAAUUCACAGCCAUAUGCCAGCUAUGGUGUAGACAGACUGUGGUUAUGAACAAGCCUCAAACUGUGAACUUGUGAAGCCUUUCAAGCAUCUCUGCUAAAAUUGCCUGUCACCAGCAUGUGGAAGAGUGCCAUGUGGCAUUCAGGUGACAUGACGGCCACUCUGUUUCUUCCUUGUGAGUUUCCUGAGCUGAGGUGUGGUUCUGGGGGUGCCCGCCUGCUCAGAGCUCUCCUGGGGUGUUCAGGGAGAGCCCAUUGCCUCUGCUGGAGCACUGCUGUGCUGCCCGCAUGGCGUUCAGCAGCGCGCAGCUCCUGCUGGCCAGACUCAGCCCCCAGCUCGUCUCGUCAAAUGGCACUUUUGUGAGUGUGCCUGCAUCGCUCAGUUCCUCUAAUAGCACCCUGCUACUGGUGAAUACAGAGCUAGACAGAGACUUGGAACUGGCACUUCUCACUAAAAGAAACGUAUUGCGCUUUACUGCAUAGGAUGCUCAUAGCAGACUUUGCCAAACAUCAAGUUUUCCAGAGAAAAUUUGCCUGAGAACUCCCCCUUUCUUCUUUUUCCCUGUGACCUCUGCUAAUUGCAGUGGUUGCAUCUUCAGUGUAAGCCUGAGGUGAGUUUUCUCCAGGAUGUCAUAACCAUCAGCACUGCUGCAUGUGACAGUGCUUUCUGCUUUGCAUGCAGCUGUCUCAUGUUCCCCCAGGCUUAGAGGAUUGUGAAAGGGUCACUCAGAGAGUGGUUCAGCCUGCAGGAUUGGGACUGAUGUUCUUAGUUCUUAAAAUGCUCGGGAGGAGGUAGUUUGUAAAAAAAAACUGGGCCUGCUGCCUUUUGAGCUGAUCUUCACUGAUCAGUGAGGAAGAUAAAGAUAUAUGGAUGAGUUUACAGUGGCAUUGUGGAAUGAAUUUGAGGAUAGUUGCUUCAAUCUGAAAAGCAGAUCUGUUGGACUAAACCUUUUUGUGUCCAAGAUUAAUGUGUGGAUAAGCUGCCCAAUUGCAUUCUUAGCUUCAUCAAAAGAGAUCCAGAGUUGGUUUUACAUGCUGCAAUUUGUUAUAAAGGGCAAACAGAAAUACUUAGUAAGGG